rnacentral:rRNA from 1 species
GAUGAACGCUGGCGGCGUGCCUAAUACAUGCAAGUCGAGCGAACGGAUGAGAAGCUUGCUUCUCUGAUGUUAGCGGCGGACGGGUGAGUAACACGUGGAUAACCUACCUAUAAGACUGGGAUAACUUCGGGAAACCGGAGCUAAUACCGGAUAAUAUUUUGAACCGCAUGGUUCAAAAGUGAAAGACGGUCUUGCUGUUACUUAUAGAUGGAUCCGCGCUGCAUUAGCUAGUUGGUAAGGUAACGGCUUACCAAGGCAACGAUGCAUAGCCGACCUGAGAGGGGGAUCGGCAACACUGGAGCUGAUACACGGUCCAGACUCCUACGGGAGGCAGCAGUAGGGAAUCUUCCGCAAUGGGCGAAAGCCUGACGGAGCAACGCCGCGUGAGUGAUGAAGGUCUUCGGAUCGUAAAACUCUGUUAUUAGGGAAGAACAUAUGUGUAAGUAACUGUGCACAUCUUGACGGUACCUAAUCAGAAAGCCACGGCUAACUACGUG